ACGGGAGGCAGCAGCUAAGAAUAUUCCGCAAUGGACGAAAGUCUGACGGAGCGACGCCGCGUGGAUGAUGAAGGCCGGAAGGUUGUAAAAUCCUUUUAUAACUGAGGAAUAAGUAUUAUCAGAGAAAGGUAGUAUGGUGACUGUAGGUUAUGAAUAAGCAACGGCUAAUUACGUGCCAGCAGCCGCGGUAACACGUAAGUUGCGAGCGUUGUUCGGAAUUAUUGGGCGUAAAGGGCAUGUAGGCGGUUUUGCAAGCUUGGUGUGAAAUCCCGGAGCUCAACUCCGGAAUUGCGUUGAGAACUGCAUAACUAGAGUCACUGAGGGGCAAUCAGAAUUCCAGGUGUAGGGGUGAAAUCUGUAGAUAUCUGGAAGAAUACCAAUGGCGAAGGCAGCCUACCAGCAGAUGACUGACGCUGAGGUGCGAAGGUGCGGGGAGCAAACAGGAUUAGAUACCCUGGUA
rnacentral:rRNA from 1 species